CAGUUACUCCCGGAAGCGCCGGGACGGGUGGUGAGGGGCCCGGGCGGAAUGGCGCGCCUUAGAGCGGACGGUGUUCGUGCUGCUUUCCGUGCCGUGGUUUCUGAAAGGCGAGACGCCCCUCCUGUGCUGUCCUCAGAAGGGCUCUUCAGAGACCGCACCCCUAGUUUGCGGAGCAGCAGAGCCUGCCCCAGUCUGGACUAGGGACUUUAUUUCUUCCACUCUCACCACUGGCUGAAGGCAGACUCCUGUCUCCACAGACUAAAGAGGAAUUAUCAAAAUGAGCUCGAAACUCUAGAUUUGAGUUAAGUAUCAUAAAUUAACACAGAGAAAUACAACUUUAACACAAAGACCUGUUUGGAGCCCCAGGUGGAAUUAAAAAAAAAAAAACUUGAACAGAGGGAGUGAUAAAGUUUUCCUUCUUUUGCCACCCUCUCUCGGUGGUCCCAAGCUUUCUCAUCUCCCACCUCACAAGACUGUAUCAACUGCUUUGAGACUUUUAGAAUAAAGAUCCCCAGGCAUAUCACUGCUGUUACCCUGUGAGGAUUUCCCCAGUGCUGGGUUAGACUAAGACAGAAUCCUUCCAAGGCUUCCAGGGCCAGUGUACUGGACGGUCAGCACAGGGAGCCUCAGAGCCCACUUCAUUUUUCCUGCAGUUGGGCACGACCCCAGGGACAUGACCCUUGAGAGUGCUGACACUUCCUGAAGCCAGUGACCCUCCCCCUGGGCUUCUCUCUGCCUGGGUCUCAGAGUCUCUGAGGCCAACUUGUACCCUCGGAAGUGUUUCUGCUGAAGGACACGUAAACAGCACUGUGGAUUUGUGUCCUGCAGUCUGCAAAACUGCCUCCCCUGAGUGGGGUGAGGAGCUACUGAAAUACUGAAAUCACUGAAACUAGCAGAAGCCACAGUUCAUGGUCCUGGGAGAAAACUGGGAAGGACGGAGAGGUGAAGAGGCUAUAAAGGCCCAGUCGUGAAGGCGACCAUGGGCCAGGAUGUCCGGAAGUCGCAAAGCUGACCAAUGCUGAGUGCCCUAAAACCUGCCACUCCUGUGCCCAUCUUUUCUUUCAAUGGACAAAGUCUUCCCCUGCUCUUAUGUGCCUGGGCUGGAAGGGCCUUUGACUUAGAACAUGAAGCAGCCUCCAGAGCCUCUUGGGGCAAGUGAUGGUCAAGGAGGCUCUGCCUAACCCCACCCUGCCCUUCCCAGUUGUCAGAGGACCAGGAAUUUCAGUCUUCCAGCUCCUGGGCUGAUCUAGUGACUUGUAACAGGAUUUCGCUGGAACUGGAAGGUGUUGAAGACAGGAAGUACUCCUGGGUUUCUUCACCCAGCUGAAUGCCUAGUUCCUGGUCUUAUUACACGGCCUACAUUCAGGAUAAGAAGAGGCGUUUGGAGCUUUACGCAGGACCUCUUAGCAGAGGUUUCUGUUCAGGAGCGAAGAGGUAAAAAGAAAGCAGUGUCUACUAAGUCCUUUUCCAAGAGUCUCAGGAAAUUCUCACGAAGACCCUCUCAGGCGAGACGCCCCUCCUGUGCUGUCCUCAGAAGGGCUCUUCAGAGACCGCACCCCUAGUUUGCGGAGCAGCAGAGCCUGCCCCAGUCUGGACUAGGGACUUUAUUUCUUCCACUCUCACCACUGGCUGAAGGCAGACUCCUGUCUCCACAGACUAAAGAGGAAUUAUCAAAAUGAGCUCGAAACUCUAGAUUUGAGUUAAGUAUCAUAAAUUAACACAGAGAAAUACAACUUUAACACAAAGACCUGUUUGGAGCCCCAGGUGGAAUUAAAAAAAAAAAAAACUUGAACAGAGGGAGUGAUAAAGUUUUCCUUCUUUUGCCACCCUCUCUCGGUGGUCCCAAGCUUUCUCAUCUCCCACCUCACAAGACUGUAUCAACUGCUUUGAGACUUUUAGAAUAAAGAUCCCCAGGCAUAUCACUGCUGUUACCCUGUGAGGAUUUCCCCAGUGCUGGGUUAGACUAAGACAGAAUCCUUCCAAGGCUUCCAGGGCCAGUGUACUGGACGGUCAGCACAGGGAGCCUCAGAGCCCACUUCAUUUUUCCUGCAGUUGGGCACGACCCCAGGGACAUGACCCUUGAGAGUGCUGACACUUCCUGAAGCCAGUGACCCUCCCCCUGGGCUUCUCUCUGCCUGGGUCUCAGAGUCUCUGAGGCCAACUUGUACCCUCGGAAGUGUUUCUGCUGAAGGACACGUAAACAGCACUGUGGAUUUGUGUCCUGCAGUCUGCAAAACUGCCUCCCCUGAGUGGGGUGAGGAGCUACUGAAAUACUGAAAUCACUGAAACUAGCAGAAGCCACAGUUCAUGGUCCUGGGAGAAAACUGGGAAGGACGGAGAGGUGAAGAGGCUAUAAAGGCCCAGUCGUGAAGGCGACCAUGGGCCAGGAUGUCCGGAAGUCGCAAAGCUGACCAAUGCUGAGUGCCCUAAAACCUGCCACUCCUGUGCCCAUCUUUUCUUUCAAUGGACAAAGUCUUCCCCUGCUCUUAUGUGCCUGGGCUGGAAGGGCCUUUGACUUAGAACAUGAAGCAGCCUCCAGAGCCUCUUGGGGCAAGUGAUGGUCAAGGAGGCUCUGCCUAACCCCACCCUGCCCUUCCCAGUUGUCAGAGGACCAGGAAUUUCAGUCUUCCAGCUCCUGGGCUGAUCUAGUGACUUGUAACAGGAUUUCGCUGGAACUGGAAGGUGUUGAAGACAGGAAGUACUCCUGGGUUUCUUCACCCAGCUGAAUGCCUAGUUCCUGGUCUUAUUACACGGCCUACAUUCAGGAUAAGAAGAGGCGUUUGGAGCUUUACGCAGGACCUCUUAGCAGAGGUUUCUGUUCAGGAGCGAAGAGGUAAAAAGAAAGCAGUGUCUACUAAGUCCUUUUCCAAGAGUCUCAGGAAAUUCUCACGAAGACCCUCUCAGCCUGAACUGCCCCGAGAUCAGAGAACUGGAAGAGAAAAGCCUGACUGAGAUGAAAGGAGCAAAAGAGAAGGCAAGGCCUCCUAAACCUGGUAAAGACAGCCAGAGUACAGAUAACCAAAGGUUGAGGGUAGGAAGGGGCAGCUUGAGGCCCAGGCUCUGCAGGCCCAGAAAAGCCCAAGUCCCAUCCUCAAUAUCAAGCUCCAGGGCCUGGGAAGCCCUGGAAGUGCCAGAGGUAUGUCCACCCUGGGAAAUGAAACCCCAGUUGGCACAGGGAAGCCCUCAGGGGUAAGGAAGGAUAGACAGGGACUCCAGGUCAGGCACCUCCACCUGCAGGCUGUCCUACUUUUAUUUCUCAGAGUGGAAGUGAGGGGUCCUAUAUGGGACUGGUUGGGGUUGAUGGCAGCAAGGGUUCUGAAGUGGGUAAAUUCUGCAGUCUCCUGAUAAAGAAACAGAAAGACUGAAAUGCUCAGAGAUACUGAGUGAGAGGGGUCUUGCAUUCCCAUCCUAUGCAGAGGCUGCCUGGGAGGUCCACCUGUCUAAAGACCUUGUGGACAAAAUCUUCUUUAUCUUUAAAAGAUGUAUCUUUCCAGUUAACUUCCUCUAUGUUGAGUCCUGAAAAAAGGCCUACAAUGUAUACCGUGGGUUUUCCAGUAGAGCAACAAGGGGAGGAACGUGGUAGUGGGACAUCAGAGAAAGAACUGUCUAAUGGUCCACUUGUUACUUAAUGAAUUGCACAUGGUGUCCAGCAUUCUUCCUUACCCCGAAGACAUGUACAUGCAGUAGAUGUUUGAACAAUGACUGCAUUAAUCCUGACAGAACUCUUUUUGGCCAUUUCCAGGUAUAGAGACCAGAAGAGGUCAUUAGCUCCAAGAACAAGCAAGAAAUUUGCUGAGACCUUUGUUCCAUCUCUGAGUUUGCUCUUCACCCAGUGGUGAAAGUCUCUGAAUCCAGUAUUGAUGACAGUGUUUUGCCUAUAUAAAAUAACAGCCAAUAAAACUGUUUUAAAUAUAUACAUAUAUAUAUUUCUAUGAUUUUUUUUUACUUUGAAAACUCUUGUAUUCUUAUUAUAACACAUUUAACAACACAGAUCUUUAUAAGAAUUAUAAUAAGAGCUAUCCCCACAUGUGUAAAUUUUACCUGCUUCUCCAAGGUGUCCAUGUUCAAAGACACAUGUGUACCUCUUCACACAUUCCUGUUUGCUGGAACACAUAUGCAUAGUCACAGGUACACACGUAGCUUUAUGGUUUGUUUGCUUUUCUGGAGAUUAGGUCACACUCUACCCACAUGUUUCUCUGCACCAUUCUUCACUUGACAAUUUAUCUUGGUUCCCAUAAGUCAGUAGCCAUGGCAGUAACGCUAUCUUUUUGGUUCUUCUAAUUUUUAACUCAUAUAUAAACGGGAACAUACCAAAAAAACAAAAAACCCGAACUCACUGCCAGCAAGUUGAUUCCGACUCAUAGUAACCCUAUAGAACAGAGUAGAGCUGCCCAUGGGAUUUCUAAGGAGCAGCUGGUGGAUUUGAACCACCAAUCUUUUGGUUAGCAAGCGAGCUUUUAGCCACUGUGCCACCAGGGCAGUACACACUGUCAACAGUCACAUACAACUCUACAGAAAUGAAAAGACAUAUCAUCAAUGCUUUUGAAGCAUACUGUUUCUAUAUGUUUUAACUCUCCUCUGCCUGUCUUUUCCGACAAGUGAAUCCAAGGGAAUUCACACUAAGAAUCUGUUAAGUUUAUCUCAUUAUCCUUGCUUAAACCGUUAAACAGUUAUAAAACUCUGCAGAUUCCCUAUUUAAAUUACACGUUCAUGAAGAAACGUGCAUUUUCUUCCUGAAAUAAUACGAUAAAUUCACAUUAUCAAGGUUGAGGAAAUCAGUGUUGUUUCCAUGUCCCAGUGGUAGACAUUAAUUCAGCAGUCAAUUAACAAAAAAUGUUUUAACAGAAUUAUUUAAACUGUGAAUUCCUCUGAGAUUGAAAAUAUACCAAGUAUAAAUGCAACACUUUGCACUGGGUUUUCUCCUCGAAAUGAACACAUUUUUCUUUCAAGUUUAUUUUUCAUGUCCUUUGGUACUAAGUACUUCUCUUUAAGACCUCAACUAGAAGCUGGGAAGGCUUAUCUCCUGAGAA